GAGGAUUAAAUGAGCUAGUUGAUGUGAAGUGUUUAGAAUAGAGCCUGACACCAGGUACUUGUAGAGGAUGUGUCAGCUAUUUUAACAUAGUGCUAUGAAAAAGGUGAAAAAUCAAAAUAUUUGUGUUGUCUUUCUUGUCUGUUUAAAAUUAUUUCCUUUUGAGGGAUAAAGACCUUAUCUUCUUGGUUUGCAUCAGUUAUGUACCUAGAUAAUCUCAUUUUCAUGGUAAGCAUUUCCUUGGCUUACCUGUUUUCACUUCACACUGUCCGUAGAAACCUGUCAUUCUCAGUUUUAUUCCUGAAUUGCCUACCUUGAUCUAUUUCUUGAUGCACUUACUUCUCCUUUGACCUCAAUAUUUUAUGUUUGACUCAAGGCUCUCAUUUGACUGUCCUUUUUCUCUUCUUGACUAUAAUUUUUAUUCUGCUUCUUGUGAAGUUAUUUCAACUCACCACCCCUCUCACAAAAACCCUUUAUGAGAAAAGCUCCUAUUAGCUUUAUCCAAGCUCUGCAAGCAAAGUUGGAACAGGAUUUGGUAAGUAUUUAUGAUUAAGAUGUUCCAGAACACACACAAAGAGUAACAUUCUAAGCUCAUAGUGAAAGGCAGUUAACUACAAACUAUCUGACCUGAUACAGGCUUAUCAAAUUUGUGCAUCUCACACUCGGUUACUCUGCCUGGUGUCUUCUUCAACCAAUAAUUUUCUAUUGUGCUAGUAAUUCAGGAACAUUUUCAUCUGGAAACAAACAGGCAUAUAUUCUUAAAUACAUAAAAAGCUUGCAUGGUACUCACUUCAAUUCUUCGAGUGCUUAGGUCCAUGGACUCACAUGCUUUGAUGCUGUGGGAACUUCUUUGUAUAGGUCAUGAUCUAUUCAGGCCCCAAACACACAUUGGUUCCGGAGAGGUUUGCAUCGCAACUGAGAAACUGAGCGUAUGAGGAGCUUGUGUAAAUAAAGGCUAACCAAGGAUCA
rnacentral:lncRNA from 13 species